AUUCAUCUCAUGAAGAACUCUAUGGUCUUAGAUGGCAAGAGAUGGGGCGGGAAAAGUCUAAGACGAUUUUAAGAACUCAGCACUCAACUGGUCGUGAUCAGCGAGAUCAAAAAGGGAUGUUUUGUGGCCGCGAAAAGGCAACAAGAACGCUGUUUGUCCAUUCAUGGAAGGCCGCUACCGCUCCUUACAUUUUUUUUAGUAUGGGGAAUUGAUGACUCGGUCUUUUCCUUAUGCUAGGAAAUGGACGGGUAAACGCUACUCCAGUUUUUUUCUUCGCGUUUGCUACCCGCCAUUGGAAAGGGAAGAACCGGUCAAGGGGGCCCGAUGAUUGGGACUCUAGAGGUACACAUCCAGUGCACACUUUUGUCUAGCACUUUGCUUUCACAGGAUGCGGUACGGAGACUUACGUUAUCUCAGGUGGGGGUGUUAAAAGCCAGAAAAUUAACUUCCAAGCCAGCGAACCAGCCAGCGAGCGGAAGCUUUGGGUGCUGCGACCUUUUACGAGCAGCACAAACGAGGUCAAAAGCUCCGCUCACCGUGACGAGACUUAUUAGACAACGGGAUAUAAAAAAGAUGUUUGCUUGCAUCGACAAAAAGGGGCACUAGCAUUACGUUGUAGGAUCAUCCUGGAUCUAUGCGAGACAGUUGAGCUGUUCCGGGGCUUGUUUCACGAGGCAGCAUUGGGACGAGGCGGUACACAUAUUCGGAACUCCAGCCUCGAAAAGCUUUCUGAUAUCCGACUUUUAAAGGGGGACCAUCUCGCCCUGCACGUACAGUGUGUCGACAUUCUGGAAUGACAUGGCGACACUCCCACCAAAGCUUUCGAGCGAGUUGCCGGACGCGAGUUUAGCAGCGGGAGGCGAGCAUGUUGUCAUCUGCCAGUGCAGCCAAGGAUUGCAGGUUUCGGUGGUGCUGGUUCCAAUUCAGGUCGCGGCUGCGUUCCCUGUUGCUGGGCUCUGAAUUGAAAUCAGCGCCCUUGAAACUUUGCGAUCCACACAGGGGGAUAUCGGUUCUAUUUUCUCUCGACGUCUUUGCACUGGAACAAAUACGUUACAACGCGUGAGGCAAGAUGUUCGUCGUGGAUCAAUCAGGUACUAGGUUUUUUUAUUUGGCGCUCAAAGCGUUAACUAUAGUGGCAAAAAGUACUUCUUUUACAAGCAGUGUUAGCUGGCCUGAAAUCUUCGUUCCUAAUAGUUGCAUGGCUUCACAAACUUGUCCUUGGUUGUCCACUUGAAGACAUGAUACCAAUUUAAGCUAAAACAUAAACUAAGAUUAAGUUUGACUGUU